rnacentral:rRNA from 1 species
AUUGAACGCUGGCGGCAUGCCUUACACAUGCAAGUCGAACGGUAACAGGUUAAGCUGACGAGUGGCGAACGGGUGAGUAAUGUAUCGGAACGUGCCCAGUCGUGGGGGAUAACUGCUCGAAAGAGCAGCUAAUACCGCAUACGACCUGAGGGUGAAAGCGGGGGAUCGCAAGACCUCGCGCGAUUGGAGCGGCCGAUAUCAGAUUAGGUAGUUGGUGAGGUAAAGGCUCACCAAGCCGACGAUCUGUAGCUGGUCUGAGAGGACGACCAGCCACACUGGGACUGAGACACGGCCCAGACUCCUACGGGAGGCAGCAGUGGGGAAUUUUGGACAAUGGGCGCAAGCCUGAUCCAGCCAUGCCGCGUGCGGGAAGAAGGCCUUCGGGUUGUAAACCGCUUUUGUCAGGGAAGAAAAGGCUCUGGCUAAUACCUGGGACUCAUGACGGUACCUGAAGAAUAAGCACCGGCUAACUACGUG